GUGCUUGCUUUGGCAGCACAUAAACUAAAAUGGAAAUGAUACAAAGAUUAGCAUGGCCGCUGCACUAGGAUGACACGUAAACUUGUGAAGCAUUCCAUAUUAUA